UACGGGGGGGGCAAGCGUUGUUCGGAAUUACUGGGCGUAAAGGGCUCGUAGGCGGCCAACUAAGUCAGACGUGAAAUCCCUCGGCUCAACCGGGGAACUGCGUCUGAUACUGGAUGGCUUGAAUUCGGGAGAGGGAUGCGGAAUUCCAGGUGUAGCGGUGAAAUGCGUAGAUAUCUGGAGGAACACCGGUGGCGAAGGCGGCAUCCUGGACCGAGAUUGACGCUGAUGCGCGAAAGCCGGGGGAGCAAACGGG
rnacentral:rRNA from 1 species